CCUACGGGAGGCUGCAGUGGGGAAUAUUGCUCAAUGGGCGAAAGCCUGAAGCAGCGACGCCGCGUGGAGGAAGGAGCGCUUCGGCGCGUAAACUCCUGUCAGCAGGGAAGAAAAUGACGGUACCUGAAGAAGAAGCACCGGCUAACUACGUGCCAGCAGCCGCGGUAUUACGUAGGGGGCAAGCGUUAUCCGGAUUUACUGGGUGUAAAGGGGGCGCAGACGGCGAUGCAAGCCAGGAGUGAAAGCCCGGGGCCGAACGCCGGGACUGCUCUUGAAACUGCGUGGCUGGAGUGCAGGAGGGGUAGGAGGAAUGCCUGGUGUAGCGGUGAAAUGCGUAGAUAUCAGGAGGAACACCGGUUGCGAAGGCGGCCUGCUGGACUGCAACUGACGUUGAGGCACGAAAGCGUGGGGAGCAAACAGGAUUAGAUACCCGGGUAGUC
rnacentral:rRNA from 1 species